rnacentral:misc_RNA from 1 species
GAAAUGCGAUAAGUAGUGUGAAUUGCAGAAUUCAGUGAAUCAUCGAAUCUUUGAACGCACAUUGCGCCCCUUGGUAUUCCAUUGGGCAUGCCUGUUCGAGCGUCAUCUACACCCUCAAGCUCUGCUUGGUGUUGGGCGUCUUUGUCCCGCCUCCGCGCGCGGACUCGCCCCAAAUUCAUUGGCAGCGGUCCUUGCCUCCUCUCGCGCAGCACAUUGCGCUUCUCGAGGUGUUGCGGCCCGCGUCCAGAAAGCAAUCGUUACCGUCUUUGACCUCGGAUCAGGUAGGGAUACCCGCUGAACUUAAGC